rnacentral:lncRNA from 1 species
CUUGUUAUUUAUGGAAACUACUUAUGAAGUAUACUUUAAUUCUAAAUUACUACUCACCAUCUCGCAAUACAAUAUUAAUUUGGCAUUGUCCUCCAAGCCCUUAGCCUACUCAAACUAAGAUGCCUAAAUGCAAACACGCACGUACGGGUUAGCGUCAAGUACAGAAAAAAACUAAAAAGAUUGGCAAGCUGCAUUAACCCAUUGUUACCGCCCUUAUCUCACUUCCUCGUUUUUGAAAAGUAAGCCAAAGGACAUCAAACCCACUAAUAAAUGGCUUUGACGGAACUAUGGGGCAAUUUAUGAAGAGAGGUUGAAUCCGGGAGGGAGUCCGACGUGACAGUUCUACACAUUCCUCCGGAAGCCCCGGGGCGUCAGGACCAGACCGGUCGCGCGGGGACUGCAGACGGCCAAGAGCAGCGAGAGGACAGGCAGCGCAGAAACCCGGCACGUCCAGCCCAAGGCCCCGGGACGCGGCGGGUCGGCUCCCAGGAGCGCGGCCUCCCGGGGCCCCGCGCCGCGCGCCCCCCGCCCCUCCCCUCCGCUCCCGGCGCAGCCUCUCCCGCCCCUCCCCACCCGGCUCCCUCAAGUCUCCACGAACGGAAAUGGGAGUCACAGCGCCGGGGACCAGCGGAAACAAAACACAGAGUUGGCCGCGGGGGGGCCGCUGUGGGGGAGAAGGCCCCGGAACGAGGCCGGCCCGCGUGGGCCCGCGCUCCUCUCUUUCCCUGCAGCUGCACUCACCCGCUCCAAAAUCGGCCCAGACGCCCUCGCCAGUGCUCCUGAGCCGGCUGAGAACGGCAGCGGCCCCAGCUCCACGUGCAGCCUCUCUCCGGGCGCCCCCGGGUCCAGGACUACAACUCCCAGCAGGUUGCGCGAAACGAUCGCCCGACGCAACGGAGGAUCGCGAGGCACAACGCCCGAAAUCCGCUUUGUGUUACACUCUCUUGCUUUCCCAGUACAUUCAUACACGUCAACAACCACAAGAAACAGGACGCUGA